UAAGUACAUGUAUAGGGUCGGUAAG
rnacentral:piRNA from 1 species